UAAUCGAAGGAAAGUUAUAUCUCUGAAUAAUAAUAAGUAAAAAAUUUAAAAUAAAAAUUUCAGAGACGUCAUCAUGUGGCAAUAAUCUAAUUUCUAUAAUAAAUUAUUGAACAAAAGUUAUAUUUUUGAAUAAUAACCGAGUAAAGUUUAAAAUAAAAAUUCCAGAGACCUCGUCACAAUCGUAUUUACAUCUUGGAAGCGUGCCAAAUCUCGCGUGGCAAUAAUCUAAUUUCUAUAAUAAUAGAAGGAAAGUUAUAUCUCUAAAUAAUAAUAAAAUUUCAGGAGCGUUAAAGACCCGACUUAGAGACCUCGUCACAAUGGUAUUUACAUUUUGGAAGCUUAGCCUCCGAGGAAGCGUGUCGAAUCUCGCGUGGCAAAAUAUUUUCGGUGGCGUUGCAUGGAGACACCACAGGUGGGUCGACCGUAGGGAAUCGCGGCUCGCAAUAUUUAGACUCGUACUACUUAAGCAUGUAUAAAGGGGAACCGUGUUGCGAGACGACCGAUUAUUCACGGCCCUUUUCUUCCUCGUCGCUUUUCCUGAUCCCGGAAGAGGAGACCCUUUUUUUCGAGUUCGUUGCACCGACAAUACGGAAGUCUCGGUGCGUUUCGCAAGGCAUUGCAUUUUCCACGGCCUCCUGUCUUUCAAUUGGAAAAAGCAUUUAAAAUGAAACUCGUCGAGUUGGAUGAGUUGAUUCGCCUUUAUCGCCUCCAUCUUGGGACCGCUUCGUCGACUUCGAUCACUUCAAUCGUCUCCUUAUGUUAUUGCGUUCCAAUUGACAACUUGGAAGGCUUCUCCUUUAUUCUUCAUAUAAACACCUACCUACUUUAAACUGUAUACACGAAGACUUCCAUUCAUCGAGCUGAGAGAAUGGUGAACUCGUGAGUCGUUUCGUCGAACGAGGGGAAGAACUAGAGGAAGAAUUGUGCGAACAACUCGAAAACUUCGUAACACGUGGUGCGCGUAAACGAUACAGGCACGAAAAUUUUUAAGGAGGAAUACUGAAUGUAAAUAUUUGAAACGUAACGCGUGUCGUGUUUUCGACGCGCGACCAUCGUAAAUUUUCCAAAGUUUUUCGAUAACAAGUAAAUAUCUCCCCGGCUGCGACACACGUGUUCCUUCGAGAUCCUGGGCACGUUCCUUGUUGUCGGUCCUCAGCUUCGUGCCGUCCACGUGUCAUCGCUGUCGGCUGUUCCUUUGUGCCCGAAUGUCUAUGCUCGGAACAAUGUAUGCAAUUUAUCAUCUUAUGAAUGGAAGGCACAAAUGGCAGGUAUCGAAUGAAUAUUUCAGCCGGGGAUUUAAUCUUUAAGCGAGACAAUAGGAAAGAAGCGGUAAAAGGGAUAAUAAA